rnacentral:rRNA from 1 species
ACGUAGGGGGCGAGCGUUAUUCGGAAUUACUGGGUGUAAAGGGUAUGUAGGCGGCCCUUCAAGUCGCGUGUCAAAGUCCAGUGCUCAACGCUGGGUGUGCACGCGAUACUGACGGGCUUGAGGGCUGGAGAGGUGAGCGGAACUCCCGGUGUAGUGGUGAAAUCCGUUGAGCCCGGGAGGAACACCUGUGGCGCAGGCGUCUCACCAGACAGUCUCUGACGCUAAGAUACGAAAGCGUGGGGAGCAAACAG